GUUUUUCUUACUUUGUUGGGCCCAGUGACCGGGAGCACACCAACGGUAUGGGGUCCGAUUACCUAGUGGGGCCCAAAAAUGUGGGCCCCACACAGAUUUUAAUGUUAACUGCCUCAGAAGCCUCUCCUGACAUGUCUCAUGCUUUUUUUUAACUUUCCCCACAAGGUGACAAAUGUUGGUUAUGUAUGUGUAAGUGUGUGUGCUCUCUAGCGCCCCUAGGUGAAAAUGUGGUGUUGCAGGAGUCACACACACCAGGAAGUGGGGUAACGUCUUAUGGCAGUCACAUGACCAAUCAUGAUGGUGUUACAGUUUUUUUAUUCCGUACUGUGCAUUGUUAAAGCACAUGGAACCCUUGGGGCAUUUGUUUUCAUUAUGGACUAUACAUUAUGGCGCAUUUUAAACCGGAAGUUUAGCGUGGAUCAUGAGAUUGAAUGGGAGGAGCACAUGUAAACAGUGCCAUAAUGUUCAGAAGGAGUAAGGUGAUAAGACCUAUUGAUGAAGCAAAAUCAUGUAUACUCUACUCAAGUGGCAAGCCGGGAUCUGUGGAACGUUUCAUUGAUGACAAAGGGUAUGCAUACAGCACGAGGGUCCGCUGUAGAAGCAACGCUGGGUUUUUGUAACCGCCAUCACAAAGGAGCCAAAACAGCAGGCUUCUGCAUCAGAGACUAACCCGUCCAUAACACAUCACUCAUCCAAUAAUGACACAAACGGAUGGAGAACCUGAUUUUUUUAUCUUUUGAUUGACUUCAAUGACAGUGAAAAUUGAAGAUGAGGAUUCCAGAUUACAAUCAGACAUUAGAAGUUCCAAAGAUGAGAGCCGGAAGCAUUUUGGUAUACCUCUGACACUGAUGGAAAAGGGUACCAAAUCUUUCUUUUCCUCUUCAUGAGUGGAAUGAUGAAAGCACAGAUGAGCCUUCUACUAAAAUGGCUUCAGAAAAGCAAAGAAGUUGUUAUUAUCUUGUAAAUGAGCUACUGUCAAAAACACCUGGACAGCAGAUGAAUGUGCUGCAGUUAAAAGACACUGAAGUAAAUUCAUUGUGAAGAAUCAAGUUCCAAUAAGGUAACAUAGACUGUAAUCGCUGCAUUGAUGCAGAAGCUCAAACUUUAGGAAGUCAAAACUGGAAGCCUGUCAAUUUUUCAUAAAAUAAUCACAUUUCUGCCAAGACGAAAAGGACAAUGAACUACAGGUGAAUGCCUUCUCUCUAGCAUUCAUACAGCAUUGAUAUCAGCGGGACAUGUGUUCUAGGUUUCAACAAGUUUAGUCUCUUUCUUUUGAUUUGUUUUCAUUGAACAGAAUGUUCAUUUUCGGGUGAAACAAUGUUAUUGUUGUCUUUACAUUCUGAUAAAAAUGUAAAAGUUAAAAUGUGUCCAUUCUUUUAAAAUUUUAUUAUAUAGUAUUCUAUUUAUAGUAUGCCAUGUAAUCGCAAUAAGAGUUAUAGCUGCAAUCAGUGACACUGUGUCUCAAUCCACUUUUACGUAUUGCAGUCGUAUUGCAGAUAUAGCGUGUCAGAUGAGAACUGCCCCUCCUGGGUAAGCAAAGGGUUUUUUUCAACCUCUUGACCAUAGCCUGCAUGUAGGCUCGCUUUCUGGGAGACUGCUGAUAAUAGUUAAACUUAAAGCUUUUGUUGUACAUUACAGUAAAACUGCUCUCAUUAAUAUGAUUUAAUUCUUAACCCUAGUGGUUUUGUUACCCGUGUUGUUCUUACAUUUUUCUGUGAUAAUAUCUCAACCUUCUUUUGUAAACAGGCUAGUAUAUAGUUUAGAAUUGGACUGUUAUAUGCUACUACUGUUCUAGUAAUAAUAGUAAUGAAUACCUCUGUGUACUCCAUCCUAGACCAUGUUCAUUAUACGGCCUUACAGUAGUACUAUUUAUUACAUUACUUAAUAAGAAAUUACUCUAUGUAGCUUCAAAUACUCCAUCCUAGACUUUAUAUUUAAAAACUACCAUGCUUUGUUUUUUCCCUUCUCUGCUUUCUUUGUAUUUAAUUCACGUGAAGCAGCUUUGGUACGAUGAACAAUUGUUAAAGCGCUAUAUAAAUAAAGUUCAAUUGAAAAUGUUUUUCAAUUUCAUAUAUUUAGAUCUUAGUUUUAUACUAAGAAAAACACAAUGUAAAACACGUUUCAUGAUUACAUUACAAAAAGUAAACGUUUUGUAUCUACCUGUAUGUAUUUGAAAUCUAAAAUGUUGUCCAAUCUCUUUUUAUAAGGUGUGUAUGGUUACCAAAAACAUGCUCACUAAAGAAAAAAUGUACUUUAUGCGUGUAUGUGUAAAAUAUUAUUUUUGGCAAGCACCAGUAAAGUAAAGCACAAAAGGUGGACACAAAGUCGUCAUUUUUUUCAUACAGUAUGCAUGUUUUUGCAAUGUACAUGGCCCCAAAUAAGAUUUAUGAAUAAAAUAUUAAAAUGUUAAAACUAUAA